rnacentral:tRNA from 1 species
AACAUAGAAGUAAAAAAGUUACAAUUAGCUUCGACCUAAUUUUAAAGGUUAAAAUCCUUCAUGUUU